GACGAACGCUGGCGGCGUGCUUAACACAUGCAAGUCGAACGAGUGGGAACGGGUGAGUAACACGUGGGUAACCUCCCAUCAGAGGGGAUAACACUUGGAAACAGGUGCUAAACCGAUACUGAUGGAUGGACCCGCGGUGCAUUAGCUAGUGGGUGAGGUAACGGCUCACCAAGGCCACGAUGCAUAGCCGGUCUGGGAGGGUGAUCGGCCACACUGGGACUGAGACACGGCCCAGACUCCUACGGGAGGCAGCAGUAGGGAAUCUUCGGCAAUGGGCGAAAGUCUGACAGAGCAACGCCGCGUGAAUGAAGAAGGUUUUCGGAUCGUAAAACUCUGUUGUUAGAGAAGCGGUAUCUAAACAGAAAGCCACGGCUAACUACGUGCCAGCAGCCGCGGUAAUUC
rnacentral:rRNA from 1 species